UACGUAGGGUGCGAGCGUUAAUCGGAAUUACUGGGCGUAAAGCGUGCGCAGGCGGUGAUGUAAGACAGAUGUGAAAUCCCCGGGCUCAACUUGGGAACUGCAUUUGUGACUGCAUCGCUGGAGUGCGGCAGAGGGGGAUGGAAUUCCGCGUGUAGCAGUGAAAUGCGUAGAUAUGCGGAGGAACACCGAUGGCGAAGGCAAUCCCCUGGGCCUGCACUGACGCUCAUGCACGAAAGCGUGGGGAGCGAACAGG
rnacentral:rRNA from 1 species